rnacentral:snoRNA from 1 species
CCCCUCUCAGGGUCGCACCUGGAGAGUUUCCAGUAUUCCACCAAUCUCAGCUAUGGGAGGGAGAGUCAAGCAGAGGCCUACCCAUUCCAUUCCUAGCUUGGGCAGCAGCUAGCAAAUGGAAGGCAAUCUGCCACAAGU